rnacentral:misc_RNA from 1 species
UCGCGGCUUAUCACCGGCAGUCUCCUUAGAGUGCUCAACUAAAUGGUAGCAACUAAGGACGGGGGUUGCGCUCGUUGCGGGACUUAACCCGACACUUCACAGCACGAGCUGACGACAGCCAUGCAGCACCUGUGCACGUUCCACCCUUGCGGGCGUGGCUCCUGUUUCCAGGAGUUAAUCCGUACAUGUCAAACCCAGGUAAGGUUCUUCGCGUUGCCUCGAAUUAAGCAACAUGCUCCACCGCUUGUGUGAGCCCCCGUCAAUUCCUUUGAGUUUUAGCCUUGCGGCCGUACUCCCCAGGCGGGGCGCUUAAUGCGUUAGCUACGGCACGGAUCCCGUGGAAGGAAACCCACACCUAGCGCCCACCGUUUACGGCGUGGACUAC